AAUAGAUACCCCGGUAGUCCUAGCUGUAAACGAUGGGUACUAAACAUUGCAGUAUUGCAGUGUUACAGCUAACGCGUUAAGUACCCCGCCUGGGGAGUACGCUCGCAAGAGUGAAACUCAAAGGAAUUGACGCGGGCCCGCACAAGCGGUGGAGCAUGUGGUUUAAUUCGAUGUAACACGAAGAACCUUACCAGGGCUUGACAUAUAAAAAAACUUUUUGAAAAAAAUUAAUAUAUUUUUAUACAGGUGGUGCGCGGCUGUCGUCAGCUCGUGUCGUGAGAUGUUGGGUUAAGUCCCGCAACGAGCGCAACCCUCGUUUUUAGUUAAUGAUCUAAAAAUACUGCCGGUGAAAAUCGGAGGAAGGUGAGGACGACGUCAAGUCAUCAUGCCCCUUAUGCCCUGGGCUACACACGUGCUACAAUGGAAUGUACAAUUAGAAGCAAUCUUGUAAAAGCAAGCUAAUCUAUUAAAACAUUUCUAAGUUCGGAUUAUAGGCUGAAACUCGCCUAUAUGAAGUUGGAAUCGCUAGUAAUCGCAGGUCAGCUAUAC
rnacentral:rRNA from 1 species